rnacentral:rRNA from 1 species
GACGAACGCUGGCGGCGUGCUUAACACAUGCAAGUCGAACGGAAAGGCCCUGCUUUUGUGGGUUUCUCGAGUGGCGAACGGGUGAGUAACACGUGAGUAACCUGCCCUUGACUUUGGGAUAACUUCAGGAAACUGGGGCUAAUACCGGAUAGGAGCUCCUGCUCCAUGUUGUGGGUUGGAAAGUUUCGGCGGUUGGGGAUGGACUCGCUGCUUAUCCGCUUGUUGGUGGGGUAGUGGCUUACCAAGGCUUUGACGGGUAGCCGGCCUGAGAGGGUGACCGGCCACAUUGGGACUGAGGUACGGCCCAGACUCGUACGGGAGGCAGCAGUGGGGAAUAUUGCACAAUGGGCGGAAGCCUGAUGCAGCAACGCCGCGUGCGGGAUGACGGCCUUCGGGUUGUAAACCGCUUUCGCCUGUGACGAAGCGUGAGUGACGGUAAUGGGUAAAGAAGCACCGGCUAACUACGUG